rnacentral:rRNA from 1 species
CCUACGGGAGGCAGCAGUGAGGAAUAUUGGUCAAUGGGCGAGAGCCUGAACCAGCCAAGUCGCGUGAGGGAGUACUGCCCUAUGGGUUGUAAACCUCUUUUGUCGGGGAGCAAAAGCCGGACGUGUCCGGCUGUGAGAGUACCCGAAGAAAAAGCAUCGGGUAACUCCGUGCCAGCAGCCGCGGUAAUACGGAGGAUGCGAGCGUUAUCCGGGUUUAUUGGGGUUAAAGGGUGCGCAGGCGGAUUUUUAAGUCAGCGGUCAAAUCGUGGGGCUCAACCCCAUCCAGCCGUUGAAACUGGGGAUCUAGAGUGUGCGAGAGGUAUGCGGAAUGCGUGGUGUAGCGGUGAAAUGCAUAGAUAUCACGCAGAACCCCGAUUGCGAAGGCAGCAUACCGGUGCACAACUGACGCUCAGGCACGAAAGCGUGGGUAUCGAACAGGAUUAGAUACCCUAGUAGUC